UACGAGGGGGGCGAGCGUUGUUCGGAAUUAUUGGGCGUAAAGGGUGCGUAGGCGGUUCCGCAAGUCCUGUGUGAAAUCUUCGGGCUCAACUCGAAGUCUGCACGGGAAACUGCGGGCUUGAGUGUGGGAGAGGUAAGUGGAAUUCCGAGUGUAGAGGUGAAAUUCGUAGAUAUUCGGAAGAACACCAGUGGCGAAGGCGACUUACUGGACACAUAUUGACGCUGAGGUGCGAAAGCGUGGGAGCAACAGG
rnacentral:rRNA from 1 species